UACGUAGGGUGCAAGCGUUGUCCGGAAUUAUUGGGCGUAAAGAGCUCGUAGGCGGUCUGUCGCGUCUGCUGUGAAAACCUGGGGCUUAACCCCCGGGCCUGCAGUGGGUACGGGCAGACUAGAGUGCGGUAGGGGAGACUGGAAUUCCUGGUGUAGCGGUGAAAUGCGCAGAUAUCAGGAGGAACACCGAUGGCGAAGGCAGAUCUCUGGGCCGUAACUGACGCUGAGGAGCGAAAGCAUGGGGAGCGAACAGG
rnacentral:rRNA from 1 species